rnacentral:rRNA from 1 species
UACGGGGGGGGCAAGCGUUAUUCGGAAUUACUGGGCGUAAAGGGUUCGUAGGUGGCCAACUAAGUCAGACGUGAAAUCCCUCAGCUUAACUGGGGAACUGCGUCUGAUACUGGAUGGCUUGAGUGUAGGAGAGGAAUGCGGAAUUCCAGGUGUAGCGGUGAAAUGCGUAGAUAUCUGGAGGAACACCGGUGGCGAAGGCGGCAUUCUGGACUACAACUGACACUGAGGAACGAAAGCCAGGGGAGCAAAC